CCGACCCACUGCGCCGCCGCCCCUACCUGCGCCGCCGCCCUGCCUCCUCGAGCCCCCCUCCCCACUUGCCCCCUCGCGUUUCCCCUCGCCCUCUCCGCCUUCUCCUCUCCCCCAGAUCCGCGUCGGCAACCCGAGCGCGCCGCGCCCGUCGCCGGCCACCUCGCACCGCCGUGGCAACCGUCGACCUCGUGCCACACCGAUGUUCUGCUGUCCUGCGCCGCCGUUCUGCAUUUUGCACUGAGGACCAAGGUCGGGUAAAGGCCCGGGGUGGUCGUCGGCGGGAAGGACCUGGAGCACGACUGCGGGGCGCACCGCGGGAUCGGCUACUUCAUCGAGCCGCUCCUUCUGCUCGGGCUCUUUGCCAGGUCGCCCUUGUCCAUUUGUCUCAAAGCUGCUGAAGAAGUCCGGGUGGAAGAAAGCCGGCGUUUGUGAGUGCAUAGAGAUGCCGUCGUAUGCCGUGUACAAGGGUAAGGUUCCCGGAGUCUACGA